rnacentral:rRNA from 1 species
UACAGAGGGGGCAAGCGUUGUUCGGAAUUACUGGGCGUAAAGGGCGCGUAGGCGGCCCGCUAAGUCGAACGUGAAAUCCCCAGGCUCAACCUGGGAACUGCGUCCGAUACUGGCAGGCUUGAAUCCGGGAGAGGGAUGUGGAACUCCAGGUGUAGCGGUGAAAUGCGUAGAUAUCUGGAGGAACACCGGUGGCGAAGGCGGCAUCCUGGACCGGUAUUGACGCUGAGGCGCGAAAGCUAGGGGAGCAAACGGG